rfam:Candidatus Thrbacteria bacterium RIFCSPLOWO2_02_FTLL_48_12 rifcsplowo2_02_scaffold_47634, whole genome shotgun sequence.
GGUGGAUUGUGUGGUUUAAUUCGAUGGUAAGCGAAGAACCUUACCAGGGUUAGAAAUCUAGGUGAAGACCAGUGGAAACAUUGGUCGUCUCACAAGGACUCCUAGACAGGUGCUGCAUGGCUGUCGUCAGUUCGUGAUUUGAACUUAAUUCGAAUCCUUCUCGAGUAAUCGGGAAGAAAAAUCCAACUCAUAACGGGGAAACCCUCAAAAUAAUCAUGAUAUAAUCAUGGUUGUACGGGCAAUCCCGUGGGAAGUUUGGAAGUUCCAAUGGUGCUUCGUGCGAGGAAAAGAGUUUUUCUUUCGGUGUCUCCAAGACAGCGAGAUAUUCUUAUUGGUGGCGUAUUAGGCGAUGCCUAUAUUGCACCAUUGGGAAAAAUUCGUAUAGAACAUUCCGUUAAACAAAGAGAGUAUGUAUACUGGAAACACGCGGAAUUAAAAUCCCUUUGUUAUGCGGGAGUACCAAGAGAAAUUACUCAUCGGUAUCGUGGAAAGAGUUAUCAAGCGAUUUUUCUCCAGCUCCGGCAAUUUUUCCGACCAUGGCGGGCGAUAUUUUAUGAAGGCAAACAGAAAAUUUUCCCAAAAAAUUUACUGUUGAGCCCUCUCUCGCUUGCAGUAUGGUAUAUGGAUGAUGGUUGUUGGACUGGGAAAAAGAUCGUUAUUUCCACAGAGAGUUUUAGAGGUGAAAGCAUAAAAACUCUUCAAGAUACAUUAUUGCGUCAGUUUAAUCUUGAUACUGUUGUUGGUAAAAACGGGAAAUUAGUAAUACGGAAGAAAUCACAUAUGAUUUUUUGCCGCAUUAUUUCUCCCUAUAUUAUUCCAAGUAUGAAGUAUAAACUUCCAAACCCUGUAACGACUUGAUCUAUUAAAGAUCGGAGUAAGAAUUUUACAUUCUUGCUAAAUGUUGGCCCCUAAUUCCGACGCAUUAUCGGAAUGGGUGAAGGUAUAGUCUGGCUUCUUAAGAAAUUUAGAAGGUUAAGGAAUUGUUCCCUUAAGUGGGGUAACGAACGCAACCCUCGUUGCCUGUUAUAUGUGUCAGGCGAGACCGCNNNNNNNNNNNNCCGGAAGGACUUGGAAUAUCGAAAAAUAUCGAAUAAAGAAAUAAGAAAACAAUCUGUUUUCUUUAGUUUUCUUAAUUGAAUAUUUUGUAUUUUUCGGAUUUCGAAAUUAGAUAUUCGAUAUUGCCAACCUUGUUGGUUUGGUGGGGGGAGGAAGGUGAGGAUGACGCCAAGUCCGCAUGGCCCUCUGAUACCCUGGGCAACACACGCAAUACAAUGGCUGCUACAACGCGUCUGCGACGGGGCAACCCUGAGCUAAUCGUUAUAAAAGCAGCCCCAGUUCAGAUUGAGGUCUGCAACUCGACCUCAUGAAGUUGGAAUCGCUAGUAAUCGCGGGUCAGCAAACCGCGGUGAAUACGUUCUCAAGUCUUGUACUCACCGCCCGUCAGCUCAAGGGAGUUGGGAGUACCCGAAAUCUCGCCUCGUGCGGGCCUAAGGUAAGCUCAAUGACAGGGAGCAAGUCGUAAACUUGUUGCGACCAGAUACAAGUAAUUGUAUCUGAAAAAAUUGGCUGU